GAGAGACAGAUGCAAAGCUACUGAGAACGAGGACUUGCACCUCUGGACAUGAUGGAUGAACCUGGAGACCGAGGAGACAGAGCACGGACAGUCGGAGGGAAGACGCUUCAGCCACGACACUGAGCCUGACUGACGCAAGAGAGGCAUCUAGUGGAGGCGCUUGGACAGAUUGGCCCUCCACAACUGUCUGCUUAUCUGGACCUAAACGCUGGAGAGAGGAGGAGGAGGGACAGAAAGACAUUUGGAGACUCUACAGGUCUGAAGACUCAAUUUUGUAAU